AUUGAACGCUGGCGGCAUGCUUUACACAUGCAAGUCGAACGGCAGCGCGGGCUUCGGCCUGGCGGCGAGUGGCGAAUGGGUGAGUAAUACAUCGGAACGUGCCCAGUAGUGGGGGAUAGCUCGGCGAAAGCCGGAUUAAUACCGCAUACGACCUGAGGGUGAAAGCGGGGGAUCUUCGGACCUCGCGCUAUUGGAGCGGCCGAUGGCAGAUUAGCUAGUUGGUGGGGUAAAGGCCUACCAAGGCGACGAUCUGUAGCUGGUCUGAGAGGACGACCAGCCACACUGGGACUGAGACACGGCCCAGACUCCUACGGGAGGCAGCAGUGGGGAAUUUUGGACAAAGGGCGAAAGCCUGAUCCAGCAAUGCCGCGUGUGUGAUGAAGGCCUUCGGGUUGUAAAGCACUUUUGGCGGGAACGAAAAGGACUGUGCCAAUACCACGGUUCGAUGACGGUACCCGCAGAAUAAGCACCGGCUAACUACGUG
rnacentral:rRNA from 1 species